AGGUGAAUCCAGGUUGUAAAUCCGGAACUUUUUUAUUUUUUCAGUUUGAAUUUUUUGAUUUUUUUUUAUCACUUUGCGGCAUGCUAUUAUCAAGGAAGAGCCCCUCAGGGUUGUGUUCAAGCGAGCCGGACAUGGUUUAAUUGCCAGAAGAGCAACAGUUUAUCUUUCCGUCUCUGAAAAUGAUGAGGUUAAAAGAAGGAAGCUGUUACGGGCACUUUAUCUUAUGAGAGACCCUUUCUUCAGCAAGUAUACCAGGCAAAGACUCGGAAGCACCAAGAACAUUUUGGAACCUGUACCGAUUAUAUAUUGGGUUUCUUGCUGAAGAUUUCUAAGAAAUCCAAAGAUUGCAGAGAGUGACCUCUGAUAUGCACAAUAAUACACAAGCUUCCAAAGGCUUUGAUUCCAUUCCUCACCCUCCAAUGCGUCAUAUCUGUAACUG